AGGAGUGUUGUCUAAUCAACGUACCUGUGGCCAUGAAGUAUACAUUAAAAACCGUAUUAUUAGCCUUACUGAUUUCUGAUACCCUGGCUGCUGUUACCCUGAGGGAGAUCGGAGGAGGGGUUAAAAAGCUUGGAGACGCAAUCCGUCUGACCUGCCAGGUGUCCGGUAUUUCUCUCGGUAGCUAUGGUAUUGGUAUUAGCUGGGUACGACAGUCCUCAGGACAGAGUCCACACUGUCUCAGUACCGUACGGUGGAAUGAAGAUAAAUAUUAUUCACCUUCUAUCAAAGAUCGAACGUCCAUCUCACGGGAUGUCCCCAAAAGCGAGGUGUAUCUGGACAUGAGCAGCCUGAAGCCUGAGGACACUGCGACCUAUUACUGUGCUAAGAGCACAUUGAUAAAAGUUCUCCAACAUUGGCUUUAUGGAUACAUGUUCUCUAUGGACGAGUUACCAUCCAUUUUUUCGCCUUGGAGGGAUGAAAUCAAGUGUUUACAGUCAGAGAUGGUUAUAAUGAGAGGCGAACUGACGAGGCUUAUUGAGCUCAUGAGCCAGCCAAUACAAUCCGGUAAAGGGAAUGUUCCUGUGAUGUCAUCACAGUCUACCAGUACGCGAGGUGAUGAGGAUAUGGUUCCCAACGGGCAGGGUGAGCCACGAGGUAGCGUAGAACGAACGAACAGUAACUCUUAUGGAUCCUAUUCAUGA